UUGUAAGAAAUAAGCCAUCAUUUAAGCCAUCAUAAAAAUGAAUUCAUACAUCUAUUUAAUAAUCUAGGUUAGAAUAUAACAUCACUGACCAAGAGACAGAUGAAUAAGACCUGUUUGGGCAGAGAGUUGUCAAAAACACUGAUAACAACUGGAGUCUCUUAGAUCAAAAGGGUUGUUUAGUAUAAACAACAGAUUCUGGGGAAAUAGCCAGAAGCAUCAGAGUAACCAGGUUAAACAGUUUGCCCUGAGGCAAUGGAGAUGUGACGUAACUAUGAUAUCAUCAUAAUGUGUAAACGAAGGCUGACUAUAUAUUAUGCAAAGAGCUGGUCAUAAAAUAUGGUAUGAGAUCGAGCGAUUAUGGAUCAAAAGCCUUCCUUUGCAUAUUGUGCGGGAAACAUUUGUUACUAAAACAAGAAACUUGGAUCCACUCGGGGUUCUGUUUCACCUGUUUAACCAGAUGUUUUAUGGGGGAUGAGGCUCUAAACAGUAUAAAAAGUGAGACCAAAAUGCAGUCUGGAGUUCUGUUUUGGGGAACAGGCCUCUGUGUACAGGGUCUACCUCUAAACAGGAACUCUGCAGGCCGAGAGACUGAAUUACUGUCCCAGGAUUGCGGACUACUGAACAUAUUCUUCAAAUGAAGCAAAGGACAAGACAAGCAAAGGAGGCAAUUCCAGAACUUGUUGACACCACGUGGUGGGAUCAAGUAUAUAAUGCCUCUCAACAUCCAUUUUUCCACAUAACUUUCAAAAUAUUGAUUCUCAUUCAGACUUUGAUCCUAGUUUUUGGACUACUCUUGUUUUGGAGAAUGAGAACCACUCUCAGGACGGUUGAAAAUAUUGUGUAUCAACGGUUAUAAUAUAGAGGGCUCUCUCUAUGGAUUUGUUCGCCCUCUAGGGGGGGAUUUGUAAGAAAUAAGCCAUCAUUUAAGCCAUCAUAAAAAUGAAUUCAUACAUCUAUUUAAUAAUCUAGGUUAGAAUAUAACAUCACUGACCAAGAGACAGAUGAAUAAGACCUGUUUGGGCAGAGAGUUGUCAAAAACACUGAUAACAACUGGAGUCUCUUAGAUCAAAAGGGUUGUUUAGUAUAAACAACAGAUUCUGGGGAAAUAGCCAGAAGCAUCAGAGUAACCAGGUUAAACAGUUUGCCCUGAGGCAAUGGAGAUGUGACGUAACUAUGAUAUCAUCAUAAUGUGUAAACGAAGGCUGACUAUAUAUUAUGCAAAGAGCUGGUCAUAAAAUAUGGUAUGAGAUCGAGCGAUUAUGGAUCAAAAGCCUUCCUUUGCAUAUUGUGCGGGAAACAUUUGUUACUAAAACAAGAAACUUGGAUCCACUCGGGGUUCUGUUUCACCUGUUUAACCAGAUGUUUUAUGGGGGAUGAGGCUCUAAACAGUAUAAAAAGUGAGACCAAAAUGCAGUCUGGAGUUCUGUUUUGGGGAACAGGCCUCUGUGUACAGGGUCUACCUCUAAACAGGAACUCUGCAGGCCGAGAGACUGAAUUACUGUCCCAGGAUUGGUAAAUAUUCUUCUGUCUUUUUGUCUCUGAUGGGUUUAGUAUUUUGUACUUAGUAUUGUGUUUAUUUAUUAGGUUUUUGCUGUUUGUGGUAUUUGGUUAUAGUCUUUGACAGAUAGUAUUUGUUGGUUGAAGACUGUAAGUUAGUUUGCCUUUGUUAGUGAUUAUAAUUUAGGGUUGUGUUGUUGGUUGUUUGGGGUAUUUACGAUUUACAAUUUGUGAGUAUUAUUUUGGUAUAGAAUUGUUUUUAUGCUUUUUCCCUUUUGUAAGGGUGUGUAAUAUUUUUCAUUCUUUUCAUUGUCUGUAUUAGUGUGUUUUUGAUUUGUGCAUAAAUUAUAUUUCAAUGAG